CGCGGUAAUACGGAGGGAGCUAGCGUUGUUCGGAAUUAUUGGGCGUAAAGCGCACGUAGGCGGUCGGGUAAGUCUGUCUGUGAAAGCCCGGGGCUCAACCCCGUGGAUUGCAGGGGAUACUGCCGGACUGGAGACAAGCAGAGGUUGGUAGAAUUCCGGGUGUAGCGGUGGAAUGCGUAGAGAUCCGGAGGAAUACCAGAGGCGAAGGCGGCCAACUGGGCUUGUUCUGACGCUGAGGUGCGAAAGCGUGGGGAGCGAACAG
rnacentral:rRNA from 1 species